GAGUCGGGGCUGAGACCAGCCCUGGCCAGGGCAGUUACCAGGACGGUCUCCGGAGGCCGGGAUUCGCGGAGGGUCCACCAGCAGGAAGAAACCCCAGGAGGAAGAAAACUCAGACAGAUCGCCGGGGAGGCAGCGCGGGAUCCCAGCCUCAGGCGUGCGCGGACGGUGUGCGGAGUCUAGCUUUGUACCAGGCUGCAGUGCAGUAGUGCCAUCUCAGCUCACUGCAACCUCUGCCUCCCGGGUUCAAGCGAUUGUCCUGCCUCAGCCUCCCGAGUAGCUGGGAUUACAGCCACAUGCCACCACACCCAGCUAAUGUUUGUAUUUUUAGUAGAUACGGGGUUUCAUCAUGUUGCCCAGGAUGGUCUUAAUUUCCUGACCUCGUGAUCCGCCCAUCUCGGCCUCCCAAAAUGCUGGGAUUACAGGCAUGAGCCACCAGAACCGGACAUGCUUUCCUUAAAAGCUAAAUAUUUUAGGCUUGUGUGCCAUUAGGCUCUGUUACAACUACUUAAUUCUGCUUUUGUAAUUCUAUAGCACCCAUUGAUAAUACAUAAACAAAUGAGCAUGAAUGUGUCUCAGUAAAAAUUUGUUCACAUAAACAGGCAGUCCACCCAUGAAGCUAUAGCUUGCUGACCCCUUGUUUAAACAAUCAAUUGAAUUCAAACAGAAAUAAAAGGAUCUUAUAUAUUUAACCAUGUUGAUACCAUUUCCAGUGCUUUUCAUUCUUCUAUGUAGAUCCAAAUUUCCUUUUGAUAUUAUUUUACUUCUGCCUGAAACAUUUUCUUUAACAUUUUUUAUAGUGUUGUUUUACUGGUGAUGAUUUCUUUCAGGUUCUAAGUGCCUGAACAAAAUCUUUAUUUCACCUACAUCUUGAAAGAUAGUUUCUCUGAGUCUACAAUUCCCAGCUGACAAUGUUUAUCUUCCAGUACUUUAAAGAUGUUGCUUCAUUAUCUUCUAAUUUUCUUUGUUUCCAAUAAAAUGUUUGCUGGCAUUUUUU
rnacentral:lncRNA from 1 species